CAGCAGCCGCGGGAAUACGAAGGGUGCAAGCGUUACUCGGAAUUACUGGGCGUAAAGCGUGCGUAGGUGGUGGUUUAAGUCCGUUGUGAAAGCCCUGGGCUCAACCUGGGAAUUGCAGUGGAUACUGGGUCACUAGAGUGUGGUAGAGGAUAGUGGAAUUUCCGGUGUAGCAGUGAAAUGCGUAGAGAUCGGAAGGAACAUCAGUGGCGAAGGCGGCCAUCUGGGACAACACUGACGCUGAGGCACGAAAGCGUGGGGAGCAAACAGGAUUAGAUACCCCAGUAGUCCCUGUCUCUUAUAC
rnacentral:rRNA from 1 species